rnacentral:rRNA from 1 species
AUUGAACGCUGGCGGCAUGCUUUACACAUGCAAGUCGAACGGCAGCGCGGGCUUCGGCCUGGCGGCGAGUGGCGAACGGGUGAGUAAUACAUCGGAACGUGCCCAGUAGUGGGGGAUAGCUCGGCGAAAGCCGGAUUAAUACCGCAUACGACCUGCGGGUGAAAGCGGGGGAUCUUCGGACCUCGCGCUAUUGGAGCGGCCGAUGGCAGAUUAGCUAGUUGGUGGGGUAAAGGCCUACCAAGGCGACGAUCUGUAGCUGGUCUGAGAGGACGACCAGCCACACUGGGACUGAGACACGGCCCAGACUCCUACGGGAGGCAGCAGUGGGGAAUGUUGGACAAUGGGCGAAAGCCUGAUCCAGCAAUGCCGCGUGUGUGAUGAAGGCCUUCGGGUUGUAAAGCACUUUUGGCGGGAACGAAAAGGACUGUGCCAAUACCACGGUUCGAUGACGGUACCCGCAGAAGAAGCACCGGCUAACUACGUG